rnacentral:lncRNA from 1 species
UCUUGACCUUGUGAUCCGCCCGCCUCGGACUCCCAAAGUGCUGGGAUUACAGGCGUGAGCCACUACACCCAGCCAAAACACCUAUUGUAUACAGGCCUGGGCUAAAGGCUGAGAUGGCCCCGCAAAUAAGGAUCAUCAGGGCCUCCUCAUGAGGGUCUGGCCGCUUCAUGAACACUUUCCCGCCAUCCUUCCUGUGGGCAUUGGAGUACUGUGGUGGGUUGACACUGAGUCUCCCUUUCCCAUCACAUAGUUUGACAGUAGGAAACUUCCUCCUCCUCCACCACCCCCUAUCAUUAUAAAUGAGAAUCCAGGGAGAAGCAGAGACUGGCCUGAAGUCCUACAGCACAACCUAGACAACAGCAGGGCCUCAUCUGGACUCAUCAGUAUAAAGAAACUCCCUCCCUAACAGGAGCUGGGCAGGGCGCUUCAACCCAGGCAACCUUGGAUGAUUAUCUGCCCUCUCUGAGCCUCUCCUCCAAGUUUUCACCUAUAAAAGGGACAGCUGAGGGUUCAACUCAACCCAGGCCCAAUGAGCCCAAUCCCUACCAGCCAUUCCUCAUGCUUCCCUCACCCCCACAUCCUACAUCUCCUGCAGCUAAGCCUGGCCAAGAGCAGCACUGGUGCAGGCCCACAGUAGCUAGAGAGGGAACCUAGCACCAUGCCCUCAGGAAAGCCCCAGGCAGGCAGACCAGCAACGGCCUUACCCUGCUGUCAGCUGCCACAGAGUCACAAGACUGGCCAGGUGAUGUCCAUUUGCUGCAUGCUGGCCUAAGCAAGAUUCUGUAUACUCUAACUCACAGCCACCCUGUUAGGUGGGUUCUGUUGCCAUCCCCAAAUUAUAGGGAAGAAACAGGUUCAGAGAGGGACAGUGACUUGUCUCAGGCCACACAGCAGGUAAGUAUCAGAGCUGAGAUUCACACCCAGGGCCUGCCUGAGCGAUUUCCUUGCAAAUCAUCCUUCUCACCCAGCAGGGUGACAUCAUUGUGAUGGUUAUACCCACAUAGCACCUACCAUGUGCCCCUCUCUGUUCUAAGCACUUUACGUGUGUUUAUAUAUUUUAUCCACACAA